AGGGGAUCUUUCAACAUCCCUGAGAGACUUUCUCUAGAGGACUGUCCCUAAGGACAUUCAUUAAGUGACAUGUAGUGAGUAUUUGUUUCUCCUAGAAACAUCCAGCAGAGAAGUCUUUAGGGGAGUCAGUCAAAUUGGAAUAAAGAGCCACAACUGCCCCGGGAUAAUCGUCUUGAUAUCUGUUGUCAAGCCUCUGAAUAUCAAAAAGGAAAGCUCUUCAGAGAAUCAUGUCCCAUCUUGGUUGGACUCCCUCCUUAGUUAUUAUUUUAGGGUUCGACGGAAAUAGGAAGAUUGGCUGUUGAUGAGAAAUGAAUAGAAAAUUGAUCUACGAGAUUCCCGCUUCUUCUUGACUGUGGUGACUUGCAACAUCCUAGGUAAGAUGUUUCAGGUGUGUGCAGCCUCACCUUUCCCUUUAUUUUCACCAAAUAAGCUUGGGCCCCUCCUCCCCUCCACUCUGUCUGAAGGCACAGUGAGGUGCCUUUAGAGAUAGAUGGUCAGCCUCCGUCCUUGUGUUUGUUUGGUAUCCUAUAUAAGGAGGGUACUCAUCAGAACUGGUCCGUGCCAUUUCUGCAGCUACUUAAGUGAGAUCGUAUCUGGCUGAGGGGCUUGCGUGGCUGGUGGACGAGCUCCAGUGACUAGGCUAAGAUCCUGACUUUGGGGCAAGCGCAAGUCAAGUCCACUCUAAGUCAGACAGUUUGGAAGGCUUUGCUCUGGCUGGGCGUUGUGCUGAGUGUGGUUUCUGCUUUGGUCAGGGUCGUAUGGUGGACUUUCUUUGGUUCAGAACCUCUCACUUCCGGUCCUAUGAGGCUGUAUGCCUGCGGGGCUAGCCCGGGCUGCUGCGGCGCUGCUUCACUCGACAGCGUCCGCUGGCUUCUG
rnacentral:lncRNA from 1 species